rnacentral:rRNA from 1 species
AGUGAACGCUGGCGGUAGGCCUAACACAUGCAAGUCGAACGGCAGCACAGUAAGAGCUUGCUCUUACGGGUGGCGAGUGGCGGACGGGUGAGGAAUACAUCGGAAUCUACUUUUUCGUGGGGGAUAACGUAGGGAAACUUACGCUAAUACCGCAUACGACCUACGGGUGAAAGCAGGGGAUCUUCGGACCUUGCGCGAUUGAAUGAGCCGAUGUCGGAUUAGCUAGUUGGCGGGGUAAAGGCCCACCAAGGCGACGCUCCGUAGCUGGUCUGAGAGGAUGAUCAGCCACACUGGAACUGAGGCACGGUCCAGACUCCUACGGGAGGCAGCAGUGGGGAAUAUUGGACAAUGGGCGCAAGCCUGAUCCAGCCAUACCGCGUGGGUGAAGAAGGCCUUCGGGUUGUAAAGCCCUUUUGUUGGGAAAGAAAAGCAGCAGGUUAAUACCCCGCUGUUCUGACGGUACCCAAAGAAUAAGCACCGGCUAACUUCGUG